GAGUCGAGGUGUCAUUUUGUUUUUCAAAUGCGAUGUAAACGCUUCGUUUUUAUAGCAUUUAUAGGGAUGCUAAACUGUACAUGAUUGAAGCUGUAGGAAUGUAUCGUUUGGGUAGAUUUGGUUGCGAUUUCAACAUAUGAAACUGGCCCAAUCUAUUGUAGCAGUUAUGUUGCCAUAUGUAAUUUUGUUUCCUUUGAUGAUUUGAAUGUGUAUCUUGUCCCUCUACAAUGCAGGUGCUCAAGGCAGCCUACUUACCCCCCCCCACACACACACACAUACACCACCACCAAGCACACACACCCCGUACAAACACACCCCACUCUACCCCCACAAAAAAGGAUGUCUCUGGUUCAGCCGAAAUGAUUUUCUCCCCUUCUCUUACCUCUACUGCAUUUUGCAUGAGCUAUCUAGGUCAUUAGCAUUUUAGCGUAUGCAAGACUUGACAAAGCUGAUGAGAAGCCAGAUGGGCCCUCUUCUAUUUUUUUUGUAUCACUUGGGAGUUGAGCAAAAGGACUGACUGCAGCAAGCCAAGAGGUUUUUUAUUACUAUCACUCGGGCCUCUCGUUGCACCACCACAGGAACGGGGUUUUUUUUUUCUUAACAUCCAAAGGAAAUAAAACAUACGCCGCUCAAGUGGGAAUAGGUUAAAACUGUUGACAAAGCUCUAAUUCAUGUCUACAAGGUGGAAAAGCCCAUUUUCAGCAACAUUGCUUAUAUUUUCAAAACAACAGAAAAAGAUAUAGCUUAAGCAGUCAAAUUUCAAAUACACAUACGUACAGUAUGCGGAAAGAGAAUUUAUAUACACAGCAGCUGAGCACCCUAAAAUUUUAAAACGCGGUAAGAACAUACAAUUGAUUAGAAUCUAGAAAUAUGAAAAUGAGGCGACAGCGCAAACCACAGGUUAAGUAGCAAUAUAUGAAAAUACGUAUUACAUUAGUAUGAAAUAGAUAAUUUGAGUGAUCUUAAUAGUUUCCUUUUUUAAUUGAACUGUAAAUAAAUUAAAGGGACUCUGUUAACCAUGUCCCACAUAAGUCGAAUAUCAGCUUUCCAACAACGGCAGUGCGUCAAUUUUGUGGCUAAAAUAGUACAAUGGGGAAACAGCCUGCAUAAUUAUCAGGAGAUAAGGUUAAUCCGCGUAAAUAGUAAUAAUAUAACCACUUCGAUCUACGUAAUGAUCUCUGUAUAUAUAUAUUUGAUAAUACAUAGGGAGAAUAGGAAUGUACCUACAGUAUAUUUCAGUCAUGUACUGUAACUCAUCAGACCUAGAAACGGGUAGAAUUAAUAAUAGAAAGUUAUCAAUUUGCAUAUGUAUGUUUGUAAGGGGAGCAUUUAUAAUUCUUUUAUAAUUAGAUGUAGCCAAAGCAACGGCUUACCAGAUGCAUGAUAAAAUGACCCGUUAAAAGGUUUGCUGUAGUGCGUAUACAGUACUUAGCGUUUGGUUCUUCAGAGGUAAAGGGAGACGGCAACGGCUGAGGCCUACCAAUGACAUCUUCAAGCACUUCUAAGAGUACUGGAGGUGCUCAAGAGAUGGAUGGGCACAUACAGUAUAUAAUUAUGUUUAUCUGAUCAGUAAUCAUGUUAUUUAUUGAAGUCAUAUAUCACUUCGCUCCUCAUCGUAUGUUAAUAAAUAUUUGUCUUGUGUAAAACGCAGAGUAAUGCUGAAAUGACCUGAAGGCCUUUCGAAGGACACAACGAUGUUGACUUCAUACUGUAGCUGAGUAUUUGACACUAGGAUCAUUACAGCAAGAUUCGUUUAUGCAUUUGCAUGUACUUCAACAUUUGUAAUGUUUGCCUAUUAUUCAAAUGACUGUAAUGAACAUCUGACAAUAAAACCAGACAUACCAAAACA